GAAGCCUUCAGCAGUACAUAUACUAAAAUAGGACUGAUAAAAAGAUUAUCAUGGACCUGUGCAAGGAUGAUCCACAAAUUCAUGAAGCAUUUCAUAUUUUU
rnacentral:snRNA from 1 species